rnacentral:rRNA from 1 species
GACGAACGCUGGCGGCGUGCUUAACACAUGCAAGUCGAACGGUGAACCUCUACGGAGGGGAUCAGUGGCGAACGGGUGAGUAACACGUGGGCAACCUGCCCCCGGCUCUGGGAUAACUCCAAGAAAUUGGGGCUAAUACCGGAUGUUCACCGCUUCCCGCAUGGGUGGUGGUGGAAAGGGUUUCCGGCUGGGGAUGGGCCCGCGGCCUAUCAGCUUGUUGGUGGGGUAGUGGCCUACCAAGGCGACGACGGGUAGCCGGCCUGAGAGGGUGACCGGCCACACUGGGACUGAGACACGGCCCAGACUCCUACGGGAGGCAGCAGUGGGGAAUAUUGCGCAAUGGGCGGAAGCCUGACGCAGCGACGCCGCGUGGGGGAUGACGGCCUUCGGGUUGUAAACCUCUUUCAGCAGGGACGAAGCGCAAGUGACGGUACCUGCAGAAGAAGCACCGGCCAACUACGUG